ensembl:lncRNA
AUGCCAAGCCUCUCUAUAGUCAUUUAUUACAACUCCGUUUUUAAUAUAUUUCAUGAAUACACAUAUUCCAUAAAGCAAAAUACAUACACACGGUCUGUAUGUUACAUCAGUUUUUUUUGUUGUUGUUGUUACAUCAGUUUUAAGCCUGUGACAUUUAAGGCCUGUCUUCGGGAGGACGAGAUCAGUCUCUCUACCAGUUCAUUUAGAAUUGACGAACUCUGUCGUCACAGCCCAGCCACUGAGUCCUCUCUUCUAAGGUUCGAUCCAGGAAGCAGGGGAUUUGAAGGGUUUGGGUGCAAUUUCCGUCACAUUACAAGAGCCUUCAGAGUCACUGCUUUGGAGCUCAGAGUCUUAGAGAUUUCAGUUCCACGACUUCUGCUCCCCGCCUCCCCCAGAAGUUAAUGAUCUGUAAGGUAAGUUUCUGAAAGUUCUAGCAAAGGCUUAGUAUUUAAAGGAAACCUGCCCUCAGCCUGUUUAACAUGCAAAUAUUCACCUUCAGUAUACUCAUUAAAUUUGUUAUUUUGCAAUAAACAAGGGGAUGAAGUGUCACAGCUAUACAGAGGCUUUAACAGGCACCUGUAGGAGACGUAAGAGACACGAGUUUGAUCCCUGGGUCGGGAAGAUCCCCUGGGGAAGGAAAUGACACCCACUCCAGUAUUCUCGCUGGGAGAAUCCCAUGGACAGAGGAGCCUGAUGGGCUACAGUCCAUGGGUAGCAGAGAAGUUGACAUGACUGAGUGUCUGAGCACACAGCACAUAGGUCCUAAAAACACCAUAAGCCGAUCCUUAGAAUGCUCUUAAAUGAUCGUGGCACUCGCAUGUCUCAGGGCAUGUCCCAUUCAUCUGGAUUCUGUUUGGCUCAGCAAAUAUUUCUUGAGCUCCUACUGUGUGCCAGGCUGGGGAGACAAAAUGUAGUACCCACCCUCCACCCCAUAAUUCCCACAGCAAGCAGUUCCUCCAACAGGGACUUACCAUUCUGUGCUGUAGUACUGAUCACUUCAUAAUACAGUAACUGGUACCAUUUAUGGAGGGCAUUCUAUCACCUGGCAUUGCUGCAGCCUUAAGAGAUGGAUACUAUUUCCUGUCUUCUUUGUACAGAUGAGGAAACUGUAGUUAGGUGAUCUGUCCCAGGUCGCAGAGCUGAUAAGUCCAAGACCCUCUCCAUUAACCACCCAGAACAAUGCUGUUGCCAGCAUUCCGCAUAUUCAACAUGAAAAGAUUUUGUUUAAAAACAUAAAAAAAAAAUUGUGAAGUACUGUGAUAGUCGGAUUAUGUUGCUGCUAUGGUCCGGCCCUUCCUUUCUGGAUCAUCUCUGCCUCCUGCUUCUGCCAGCCCAGAUAAAAUCCUGUAAACCUCGAAAGACUCCUUCCUCACCUCCGUGCACAAAGUCAACCCUACAAACAAUACUAUUACUAUUAUUGGGGACCUGUUAUGAGCCAGAGUCUGAACCCAGUUCUGUCCAGGUCCAAGACACUCUGCCUUGCUUCUUCCUUUCAGAGUCACUGCUUUGGAGCUCAGAGUCUUAGAGAUUUCAGUUCCACGACUUCUGCUCCCCGCCUCCCCCAGAAGUUAAUGAUCUGUAAGGUAAGUUUCUGAAAGUUCUAGCAAAGGCUUAGUAUUUAAAGGAAACCUGCCCUCAGCCUGUUUAACAUGCAAAUAUUCACCUUCAGUAUACUCAUUAAAUUUGUUAUUUUGCAAUAAACAAGGG